AGCGAACGCUGGCGGCGUGCCUGACACAUGCAAGUCGAACGUGAAAGGGAGCAAUCCUGAGUAAAGUGGCGAACGGGUGAGUAACGCGUAGAUAAUCUACCCUAGAGUCUGGGAUAACCUGCCGAAAGGCGGGCUAAUACUGGAUAGAGCGAGGAACUUAUAGAGGGUUUUUCGGGAAAGGGAGGAAGCAAUUCCCUUCGCUUUAGGAUGAGUUUGCGUCUCAUUAGCUAGUUGGUGGGGUAAAAGCCUACCAAGGCGAUGAUGGGUAGCUGGUCUGAGAGGAUGAUCAGCCACACUGGAACUGAAACACGGUCCAGACUCCUACGGGAGGCAGCAGUGGGGAAUCUUGCGCAAUGGACGAAAGUCUGACGCAGCCACGCCGCGUGAGUGGAGAAGGCCUUCGGGUUGUAAAGCUCUGUCGAACGGGACGAAAAGGGGUGAGGUGAAUAGCCUCAUUCUGUGACGGUACCGUUAGAGGAAGCACCGGCUAACUCCGUGCCAGCAGCCGCCGUAA
rnacentral:rRNA from 1 species